rnacentral:rRNA from 1 species
AUACGGAAGGUCCGGGCGUUAUCCGGAUUUAUUGGGUUUAAAGGGAGCGCAGGCGGAGAUGCAAGCGUGACGUCAAAUUUCGGGGCUCAACCCCGUCUCGCGUCGCGAACUGCGUCCCUUGGUUGCGGGAAGGGGAGGCGGAACUCGGGGUGUAGCGGUGAAAUGCAUAGAUAUCACGAAGAACUCCGAUCGCGAAGGCAGCCUUCCGGCCCGUCAACGACGCUCAUGCUCGAAGGUGCGGGUAUCAAACAGGAUUAGAUACCCUGGUAGUCCGCACAGUAAACGAUGGACACCCGCGGUUUGGCCUAUAUGGCUGAGCCGCCAAGCGAAAGCGUUAAGUGUCCCACCUGGGGAGUACGCCGGCAACGGUGAAACUCAAAGGAAUUGACGGGG